UAAGUACAAAAUUUAUUUACUCAUAUUUAUUUACAAAAUUUAUAUGUCUACAUAUUAAUGGAGCUUUAAUAUAGAAUGAUAUUAUAUUUACACUGAUCAUAUAAGAGCACUCGCAAGGUGUCCAUGUCUACGUGAAAGGAUGUAUACUGAAAUGGUAAUUAGUUCCUUCAACUAUGUGAGCAACUGUAUAAUAGAUCACUGUAUUUUAUACAACUAAUUCAAAAAAGGUUGUCCUUUGCAAACCUUGAACUCUAAACCUUAAACCUUAAACUCUAAGCAUGAAAGCUUAAUGGGAGCAUCAUUUAAUCAGUUUAGAAAUCAUAUAUGGGGCCCAUUUCUUAGAGACAUGGUAAAUAUCUCCUUAUGAGAACAAUUCAUUCAAAAGAGUUGCAAGAUUCGACUAUUAAGCUUGAAACUCGACAUCAGAUUACUUUUCUGCACAUGGUUGCGAACUUCGAUUUUACUGUGUUUACUGUAUUUAGUAGUUUCAAUCAGUCGGAACAAACUUUGACAUCUUAAUUGUUGACAUCUACUCAAAAUUUUUGGCUUGAAUUCCCAAGUAUGUACA